ensembl:lncRNA
AGCUUCCCAGAUGCGCCCGGAUUUCCCACGGGUUUCCCCGCCUGCUGCAAAUAGUGACAAAAGCUGGCACUCUCAGAGCGCUCACUAUAUGUUCGGCACUUCGCCGGCAUCCUGUCUUGUUAUCUCCAUCAAAGCUCUGAAGCAGGCGGUAUUAUUACCUCCAUUCAAAGACAAGGAAUCUGAGGCUCAGAGAUGCCAAGAGAUUUGCUCAAGGUCACACAGCUACUGAAUGUGUCAUAGACCCACUCUGCUGAUGUAAUGCCUUGUGAUGCCAACACAGACCCUAGACUCUGUGAAAAACUGCCUCAGACACCACCCCAGACCCUUCAGUCAUCAUAUAUCUUGCAUGUCAGCUAUUCCCUCAGCUCUGUGAAGACAUCAUUUCCACCCAGCCUCACAUGGAGCUGGCGGCCAGAGCCUCUUAGUGGGGCUAUAAAUAGAAGAUCAUCAACUCACCUCUUCUGAGCUCAUCACAGGCUCCUGGGUUUACUGCGUGUCUUUCUGCUGCCUGCACGUCACCAUCACUCAGAUUUCCCAGGAAGCUUGAUAAGCAGGCAUACUCUAGACUGAAGACUCACGAACUCUUUUCUGAAGAAACUGAGCACACUCAAGGGAAAGACCUAUAGAUACAUACAUGAUAUGGAUACAGACCCCCAGAAGAAGAGCCAGCUCACGACCAGCCACGCUCUACAGGAAUGUCCGCUGACAAGAUCCACCCAUGCAUGCUGACCAUCCAAUCAUCUGUACAGCACAUAGUUCCUAAAUAUGAUCAGAGAGCCAAGAUCCCCAGACAUUUAAUGAAAGCCUCAGACAUGAAAGGAAGCUCUCCACCCAAAGAAGAGAAGAAUGAAAUACUUUAUAGUCUCUCACCCAAAUAAGAGAACAAUCCAAGAAUGAGCAAGACAUACCCAGGAGAGGGCAGAGGCAUUCUCAGGAUGAUGGUGAAGGAUAUCUGGUGCCAGAUGGGCCAGAUGGAUUACCUAAUAGAUGUGCGAUGGCUGGGAGCUCGGUUCAAGUCAAGGAAGCUUUUUUUAUUUUUCAGACAUCUCUAAUAAAGGUCUUCUAUUUAAAGAUGAAAUCCAACUUUAUAGAGUUCUCACUUUUUGGCCCUAUGCCUGCCUCAAAAAGCAAUGAAGAAUGAGCCAUCUUUUACAAAACAGCCCUUCAAAGACAGGAAGAUAGUCCUAUGGCCUCUCCAACGGUGUCCUUUGCUCCCAUGUAACCUGGUCUCCGACUUCCCUCCUCCACCUCCUUCCACGUGACCACUUCAGUUCAUCAGUGCUAUGCUUAAAAUGAGGCAAACUCAACUCCUGGUAUGCCCUGAAGUGUACAAAAUAGCGAGGAACUAUAACUUUCUGUGAUCUGAGAGCUGAACGUCCAUUCAGUUAAAGCAGCCACUCAACUGCUGUUUUAAAAAUACCAAUUUUAACAUUUCUAGCCAAGAGAAGACUAAUUCAACAGAAAAGUUAAGCUUACAUUUAAAACAGGUUAAAGCAUUCAUGAUUUUGAUCUUUAAAAAACCCACCGUCUCAUAUGAAUAUAAAUAAUGGAUUAACGAACUUUUGCACAACAGAAGCUAACCUGAUUUUAAUCUUUACUACCUUUGCAGUAAGGAGCAGAGUAACUUCCUGCAGUAGGAAGCCUU